rnacentral:lncRNA from 1 species
ACAGAAAUUGGAAUUCCCUCUACUUCAUAUAAACUAAGAUUCUGCAUGGUUUACACUAGGUUCUGAGAUUGAAGAAGGCCAGGAUCUUUACGGAGGAUGACCAGAGCCUGCCUGGAGAGACGAUGGAGCUGAAUGAUUGGCCAUCCAGCAGGAAGCUGAGGAGAAGGAGGUAAUAGAAGGGCAGAGGGGGUGGAGGAAGUUGUAUUGGGUCAGGGAAAGAACAAGGAAGACAGAGUGUC